rnacentral:rRNA from 1 species
UACGGGGGGGGCAAGCGUUGUUCGGAAUUACUGGGCGUAAAGGGCGCGUAGGCGGUUGGAUAAGUCAGCUGUGAAAACCACGGGCUUAACUCGUGGCCUGCAGUUGAGACUGUCUGGCUUGAGUGUGGGAGAGGAGAGUGGAAUUCCUGGUGUAGCGGUGAAAUGCGUAGAUAUCAGGAGGAACACCGGUGGCGAAGGCGGCUCUCUGGACCACAACUGACGCUGAGGCGCGAAAGCGUGGGGAGCAAACAGG